CAGUAGCCGCGGUAAUACGAAGGGGGCUAGCGUUGCUCGGAAUGACUGGGCGUAAAGGGCGCGUAGGCGGACGGCACAGUCAGAUGUGAAAUUCCCGGGCUUAACCUGGGGGCUGCAUUUGAUACGUGUUGUCUAGAGUGAGGAAGAGGGUCGUGGAAUUCCCAGUGUAGAGGUGAAAUUCGUAGAUAUUGGGAAGAACACCGGUGGCGAAGGCGGCGACCUGGUCCUUUACUGACGCUGAGGCGCGAAAGCGUGGGGAGCAAACAGGAUUAGAUACCCCUGUAGUCCCUGUCUCUUAUAC
rnacentral:rRNA from 1 species